UUGUGGAGAAAGCAUAAAUAUGUUUCUUUCUUCAAUUUUAGCAUAGAUGCGUCUGCCGAAGACGGCUCGCUGGGCCGGCUAGUAAAUGAUGCCCACAGGUCCCCAAAUUGCAAAAUUAAGAAGUUGAUAGUCCAUGGUGAACCUCAUCUUUGCUUGUUUGCUGUUGAAAACAUCCAAGCAGAGAGUGAAAUAACCUAUGAUUAUGGAAAAUCUCCAUGGCCAUGGCGCGCUGAGACACCAAGUGGAGAGAUCCCAGCUCAACCUUCAGCACAGCCAGAAGGGAGCCAGAGAUCCACUUCAUCCUUCCAACAGACACCAAGUGGAGAGAUCCCAGCUCAACCUUCAGCACAGCCAGAAGGGAGCCAGAGAUCCACUUCAUCCUUCCAACAGG